UACGUAGGGUGCGAGCGUUAAUCGGAAUUACUGGGCGUAAAGCGUGCGCAGGCGGUUCGUUGUGUCGGCGGUGAAAGCCCCGGACUUAACCUGGGAAUGGCCGUUGAAACUGGCGAACUGGAGUGUGGCAGAGGGGGGUGGAAUUCCGCGUGUAGCAGUGAAAUGCGUAGAGAUGCGGAGGAACACCGAUGGCGAAGGCAGCCCCCCUGGGCUAACACUGACGCUCAGGCACGAAAGCGUGGGGAGCAAACAGG
rnacentral:rRNA from 1 species